CAGCUACCAAAGAAGUUGGAGGUGGCUGAUCUGUGCUCUUGUGGACAUCUUUGGAUCAUCUUACAAGCAGUCCUCUGAAGCAGGAAUGGAUAUGUGAACUAAGGGACUAUUGGGAGCUCCAACCAUUCUCUGGACCAUUUAGGACCCCUCAUCUGGACUUCAACCUCUCCUUGCUAAAAGACUCUAUAUAGUAAAAGACGAUUUGAGCGAGAUUGCAAAGAAGCUGACAGAGCUCAGCAGUAUUUUGAAAAAAUGGAUGCUGACAUUAAUGUUACAAAAGCAGAUGUUGAAAAGGGCUCCCUGUAUUGGUUCCCUGUGA
rnacentral:lncRNA from 1 species